rnacentral:rRNA from 1 species
AAAUGAAUUGACGGGGACCCGCACAAGCAGCGGAGCAUGUGGUUUAAUUCGAAGCAACGCGAAGAACCUUACCAGAACUUGACAUCCUCUGCAUCAACCGUAAUUGGUAAAAUCCCUUCGGGGACAGAGAGACAGGUGGUGCAUGGUUGUCGUCAGCUCGUGUCGUGAGAUGUUGGGUUAAGUCCCGCAACGAGCGCAACCCUUGUCUUUAGUUGCCAUCACUUUGGGUGGGCACUCUAAAGAGACUGCCAAGGUGAACUUGGAGGAAGGUGGGGAUGACGUCAAAUCAUCAUGCCCCUUAUGUUCUGGGCUACACACGUGCUACAAUGGCCGGUACAACAGGAAGCGAAGGAGUAAUCUGGAGCCAAUCCCAAAAGCCGGUCUCAGUUCGGAUUGUGGGCUGCAAUUCGCCCACAUGAAGUCGGAGUUGCUAGUAAUCGCGGAUCAGAAUGCCGUGGUGAAUGCGUUCCCGGGUCUUGUACACACCGCCCGU